rnacentral:pre_miRNA from 1 species
GUACUACUCCCUCCGUCCCGAAUUACUUGUCGCAUAAACGGAUAAAAAUGGAUGUAGAACUAAAAUACGUCUAGAUACAUCCAUUUUUUCGACAAGUAUUUUCGGACAGAGGGAGUACUAG